UACGGAGGGUGCAAGCGUUAUCCGGAUUUACUGGGCGUAAAGCGGGCGUAGGCGGCUUUUCAAGUCGGAUGUGAAAUCUCCCGGCUCAACCGGGAGGGGCCAUUCGAUACUGUUGGGCUAGAGGGCAGCAGAGGGAAGUGGAAUUCCCGGUGUAGUGGUGAUAUGCGUAGAUAUCGGGAGGAACACCAGUGGCGAAGGCGGCUUCCUGGGCUGUUGCUGACGCUGAGGCCCUAAAGCGUGGGGAGCGAACAGG
rnacentral:rRNA from 1 species